UACAGGGGGUGCAAACGUUGCUCGGAAUUAUUGGGCGUAAAGCGCGCGUAGGCGGCUACUUAAGUCGGAUGUGAAAGCCCCUGGCUCAACUGGGGAAGUGCACCCGAAACUGAGUGGCUUGAGUACUAAAGAGGGUCGCGGAAUUCCCGGUGUAGAGGUGAAAUUCGUAGAUAUCAGGAGGAACACCGGUGGCGAAGGCGGGUCUCUGGGCCGAUACUGACGCUGAGGAGCGAAAGCGUGGGGAGCGAACAGG
rnacentral:rRNA from 1 species